GUCUCUGUGGCGCAAUCGGUUAGCGCGUUCGGCUGUUAACCGAAAGGUUGGUGGUUGGUUGGUGGUUCGAGCCCACCCAGGGACG